GGCUGGUCUGAGUGCUGUAGUGUUCAUAAUUAAUUGAUCACAGCCAGUUACAGAUUUCUUUUUUCCUUCUCUACUCCCACUGAUUCCCUUGACUAGUCUUAA
ensembl:misc_RNA Y_RNA Y RNA